GCGGCGUGCUUACACAUGCAAGUCGAACGAUGAACCGCUUUCGGGCGGGGAUUAGUGGCGAACGGGUGAGUAACACGUGGGCAAUCUGCCCUGCACUCUGGGACAAGCCCUGGAAACGGGGUCUAAUACCGGAUAUGACCGUCUGCCGCAUGGUGGAUGGUGUAAAGCUCCGGCGGUGCAGGAUGAGCCCGCGGCCUAUCAGCUUGUUGGUGAGGUAGUGGCUCACCAAGGCGACGACGGGUAGCCGGCCUGAGAGGGCGACCGGCCACACUGGGACUGAGACACGGCCCAGACUCCUACGGGAGGCAGCAGUGGGGAAUAUUGCACAAUGGGCGAAAGCCUGAUGCAGCGACGCCGCGUGAGGGAUGACGGCCUUCGGGUUGUAAACCUCUUUCAGCAGGGAAGAAGCGAAAGUGACGGUACCUGCAGAAGAAGCGCCGGCUAACUACGUGCCAGCAGCCGCGGUAAUACGUAGGGCGCAAGCGUUGUCCGGAAUUAUUGGGCGUAAAGAGCUCGUAGGCGGCUUGUCACGUCGGUUGUGAAAGCCCGGGGCUUAACCCCGGGUCUGCAGUCGAUACGGGCAGGCUAGAGUUCGGUAGGGGAGAUCGGAAUUCCUGGUGUAGCGGUGAAAUGCGCAGAUAUCAGGAGGAACACCGGUGGCGAAGGCGGAUCUCUGGGCCGAUACUGACGCUGAGGAGCGAAAGCGUGGGGAGCGAACAGGAUUAGAUACCCUGGUAGUCCACGCCGUAAACGGUGGGCACUAGGUGUGGGCAACAUUCCACGUUGUCCGUGCCGCAGC
rnacentral:rRNA from 1 species